UGGUCUGCAGCUUCCAGCCUGCAUGAGCAUUGGCCCAGCUGGAGAUUAAACAAUAUCCUUUAAUAGGAGCAGGCAGGCACCCGUUUCCAGCGCAGGGAAGGCCGGCACGCCAGCAGAGCCAGGGCUGCGGCAGGACUGGGAUGCCCUGAUUUGGAAGUCUCUUGCUCGACCCAGCUGCUCGAAAGGCGGCUGUUUCCUACGCAGGGGCCAAGGGAGGCUUUUUAUUUAGAGGAUGCUUCGCCUGCUCAGUACAGAGGGGAAGUCGAAGGACACAGCUCGCACUCCGGGGCUCCGCCGGCUGUGCCUGUGACCUACAGCAGACACAGGAGCCACCCCCGCUCUGCCGGAGCCUCCCGGCACGCGGGGCCGGGCUUUGCUGGUGCUGCCAUUUAUGGGGCUCCCCCGCCGUCCCGAUUAGAUAAUGCUCGCCCAGCGCAGCGGCAGCUCUCCCUCCUGUGCCCCCGGCACUGCCCUGCUCCUCCCCGGCAAGGGGCUGCCUUUAAAAAUAAACUGAGAAAACAGCCAAGCUGGAGGGCAUCGCUCCUGUUUCCAUGAGAACACAGGGAACACAGCCUGCCAGGGCAACUCAGCUCUGGCCUUGGCUUUCUGACCCUGCUUUCACCCUGCAAGAAGAUUUCUCCUCAGCUUUCCCCUGCUUUUACCGCCUUUCCUUCUUGAGGCUCCUCUGGGUGCACCCUUGCUGUGGCCCCUGCUCUCUGCAACCUCUCCUGCUUCCUCCCAAGCCCUCUGAGCCCUCCUGGGGCAGGAAAGUCCCAUCCUGGCACCACCAGCACCCCAGGAAAAAGAGUGACCAGGUUAACCUUCAGCUCUGAAGAGGAUAAGCAGUACAGCAGAGGAUCUUGUCCAAGAGCCACCUUUUUCACCCUGUCCCAAGCCUCAGCAAAGCAGCUUCCUCCCUGCUGUGAGAUGGGGCUAAGAUACUCUCCAAGGGCUGGUUAAAAGCCUGAAUGAUGCUUUGCUAAUGCAAUAUUACAGAAGCACUAAGUAUUGUUAGCACUAAGCCUCACAUAAGCUGAAGGAGCAAUCUUGUUUUCUUUUCCAAGACAGACUUUGGGGUUUCACCGGAGGUUUCCUUCACCUGGGUCAGCAUCAUGUCCCCUAACCUGGGAGUGUGACAGGAGGCUUUUCUGCCUUGGAAAGGAGAGAAAAUGCUGUCAAGCUUUCAUCUGCUUCUAAAACAUGUUUUAGCUUCAUGCAGAGUGUAGUGCCAUUGCUUAAAACAAAUAUAUCUAAUUUUCUUGUGUUACUUUCCAAGGAUCCAAGUGUUAGUGUGGCUUGGCAGUAGUCUCUCAGCACAGGUUACCCUUUCUGAGAGGUUCAUUUCCAAGUCCCAAAAUAUCUCCCACAACAGCUCAUUUGGAAACUGCAGCUGUGUCUUGGGUGCCGGUGUGAGCCUGGACUGGCCACCUCUGCCAGCACUCCAGGGCUUUCUCAGUGGGGUGGCAGGACACGACAGAACAUGUUGAGAAAUAGCGAGACAAGAUUUAUGCCAAGUUCAAAGAUUAGUAGUUGGCUUAUUAGGUUUUCCCCUAAGCUAAGUAUUAAGCAAUGCUAAAUGACCCACACAGAAAUCAGAAGGGAGGAUUAAUAAAGUUUAAUGGUGGAAGUUUGUGUUUGGAAGUGUCAUGGGACUAAAAGUGCUGGCAAACAACAAAGUGUUUCCCCCAUCACUGGUAGAUGUUUCUUAGUAUCUUAAAAAUUGUUUUACCUCACUUGCUAGUUUUAUGAGUCUUUUAAUAUGUGUUCCCAUGCCCAUUCAGCCUCAAAUAGCUCUUGGGUUUAUAAAUGUAUUUCAUUGUUUCUCUGUAUCUUUUGCAUGCAUUUACUCCAAAUGCCUUUUAGGUAAUCUAAUCUCUGGUUUUGGUGGUCCCUGCUCAAGGCUGGCUUUAACUGGAAGUGAAUAAAUUGAGCUGAAAGGCACAUCAGGUGGGCACUUAAACAAUUCCUAUAGAAGAUGAUGGCUCUCCAGACAAGUUGUUCUUGGUGGAGGCUUCACUCCUGAACUAAAUUGUAUGAAAAUAAUCUCAAUGUGGCCAUGGCAAUGGCAAUGGAAAUUAUCUUAAAAAAGAAGAAGUCUGUACAGGUACCCCAGGAAAGUCCAGGCUAAUAGGGUAUAUACACUGCCUACGAAAACAUGUCAUUGCUGGUUUUGACAUUGAUUUGUAUAAAAGUAUUUGGAAAAGAUACACUGGCCAUCUGCCUCUUCAGCUGACCCACCACUUGGUGUCAUUUCAUAAAUACUGUUACAGGGCCAAUCCUUUAUUCCUUGUGAGGAAAAAAUACAGCUUCAGUCUGCUUUUAAA